GCGGCUCCGCUCGGCUCCUGUGCGGCUCCCGCCGGGCCCUCGGUCCCCGUCCGUCCCCGGCGCGGCAGGGCACGAUGGCGGCCGGGCUGGGGCCGUGGCUCCUGGCCUUGGCCUUAGCCUCGGGGCCGGCAGGGGUGUGGGCGCAGCUGAGGCUGGUGGAGGCCGGCGGAGGGCUGCGAGCUCCCGGGGACUCCGUGCACCUCACCUGCCGCGGAUCCGGCUUCACCUUCGGGAAUUACCCCGUUUAUUGGUACCGUCAGGCCCCCGGUGGUGGUCUCGAGUGGGUGUCUGUCAUCAGCCCUGAUUCCUCAUUUACUCAGUUCGGGCAGUCUGUGCAGGGUCGAGCGACGGUGUCCCGGGACAAUGCCCGGUCCGAGUCCUCUCUGUCCCUGAGUGUCCUGCAGCCCCAGGACUCUGCCCGCCACUUCUGUGCCGUUGACACGGAGACAGGAAAUCCAGCUGAGCUUUAACAGAAACCUGCUGGGGCCCAG